GCGUCGGUGGUUCAGUGGUAGAAUACUCGCCUGCCACGCGGGUGGCCCGGGUUCGAUUACCCGGCCAACGCA
rnacentral:tRNA from 1 species